AUUGAACGCUGGCGGCAUGCUUUACACAUGCAAGUCGAACGGUAACAGGUUAAGCUGACGAGUGGCGAACGGGUGAGUAAUGCAUCGGAACGUGCCCGAUCGUGGGGGAUAACGCAGCGAAAGCUGCGCUAAUACCGCAUACGAUCUGAGGAUGAAGGCGGGGGACCGUAAGGCCUCGCGCGAUCGGAGCGGCCGAUGUCAGAUUAGGUAGUUGGGGGGGUAAAGGCUCACCAAGCCAACGAUCUGUAGCUGGUCUGAGAGGACGAGCAGCCACACUGGGCAUGAGACACGGCCCAGACUCCUACGGGAGGCAGCAGUGGGGAAUUGUGGACAAUGGGCGAAAGCCUGAUCCAGCAAUGCCGCGUGCAGGAAGAAGGCCUUCGGGUUGUAAACUGCUUCUGUACGGAGCGAAAAGGCUCUCUCUAAUACAGGGGGCUCAUGACGGUACCGUAAGAAUAAGCACCGGCUAACUACGUGCCAGCCGCCGCAGUAA
rnacentral:rRNA from 1 species